UACGUAGGGUGCAAGCGUUAAUCGGAAUUACUGGGCGUAAAGCGUGCGCAGGCGGUUAUGUAAGACAGAUGUGAAAUGCCCGGGCUCAACCUGGGAACUGCAUUUGUGACUGCAUGGCUAGAGUUUGGCAGAGGGGGGGUAGAAUUCCACGUGUAGCAGUGAAAUGCGUAGAUAUGUGGAGGAAUACCGAUGGCGAAGGCAGCCCCCUGGGUCAAGACUGACGCUCAUGCAC
rnacentral:rRNA from 1 species